AAUGUACUAUACCAACCUCCUUCUCACAAAGUGGCCGACCCUGGAUUGUUAGUGGCCUAAGAGGUGCUCCUAAGACGUCUUCACAAUUUCCAUUCUUUCUUACUGAUAGUGGGGGGCAGGCUCACACAUUUUUCCCAUGUAUGAUUCCUCAUUUCAUCAGAUGCUUAGGUUCUUCACACUGUGAAAGGGUAUUGCAUAGACUUCCUUUCUCUACUUGUUCAAUGUUCCCCAUCAAGGGAAAUUGUUUUUUUCCCAAUGAGACACAGACCUUGUCUCUGUGGACAAUCAAUUGUAGAGAUUCUGGCGCAUACCCUGGGUUACGUGAGCAACCUUUUCUUGUUUCCCAAAAAAGGCAAAGGUAUCCGUCCAGUGAUAAAUUUGAGACUGCUCAAUAGUUAUGAGCAUAUCAG